GCAACUGACGCUCAUGCUCGAAAGUGCGGGUAUCGAACAGGAUUAGAUACCCUGGUAGUCCGCACGGUAAACGAUGGAUGCCCGCUAUUUGUCCAUUAGGAUAAGUGGCCAAGUGAAAACGUUAAGCAUCCCACCUGGGGAGUACGCCGGCAACGGUGAAACUCAAAGGAAUUGACGGGGGCCCGCACAAGCGGAGGAACAUGUGGUUUAAUUCGAUGAUACGCGAGGAACCUUACCCGGGCUUGAAUUGUGAGAGAAGGAUCCAGAGAUGGUGACGCCCUUCGGGGCUCUCAUGAAGGUGCUGCAUGGUUGUCGUCAGCUCGUGCCGUGAGGUGUCGGCUUAAGUGCCAUAACGAGCGCAACCCCUCUCUUCAGUUGCCAUCAGGUUAAGCUGGGCACUCUGGAGACACUGCCACCGUAAGGUGUGAGGAAGGUGGGGAUGACGUCAAAUCAGCACGGCCCUUACGUCCGGGGCUACACACGUGUUACAAUGGGUGGUACAGAGAGUUGGGUGCCCGCAAGGUCACUCUAAUCAAUAAAUCCAUCCUCAGUUCGGACUGGGGUCUGCAACCCGACCCCACGAAGCUGGAUUCGCUAGUA
rnacentral:rRNA from 1 species